rnacentral:rRNA from 1 species
UUGAACGCUGGCGGCAGGCCUAACACAUGCAAGUCGAGCGGAUGAAGGGAGCUUGCUCCUGGAUUCAGCGGCGGACGGGUGAGUAAUGCCUAGGAAUCUGCCUGGUAGUGGGGGAUAACGUCCGGAAACGGGCGCUAAUACCGCAUACGUCCUGAGGGAGAAAGUGGGGGAUCUUCGGACCUCACGCUAUCAGAUGAGCCUAGGUCGGAUUAGCUAGUUGGUGGGGUAAAGGCCUACCAAGGCGACGAUCCGUAACUGGUCUGAGAGGAUGAUCAGUCACACUGGAACUGAGACACGGUCCAGACUCCUACGGGAGGCAGCAGUGGGGAAUAUUGGACGAAGGGCGAAAGCCUGAUCCAGCCAUGCCGCGUGUGUGAAGAAGGUCUUCGGAUUGUAAAGCACUUUAAGUUGGGAGGAAGGGCAGUAAGUUAAUACCUUGCUGUUUUGACGUUACCAACAGAAUAAGCACCGGCUAACUUCGUG